CCGCGGGACUGGGCCUCGUUAACGGUGAUGUUGCGGCCGUCGAGCUCCUUGCCGUUCAUGCCCUCGAUGGCGCUGCGCAUCGCGUCCUCCGUGGAGAAGGUGACGAAGCCGAAGCCGCGGGACCUCUGCGUCUCCCGAUCCAGGAUGAUCUGCGGGGGGAGAAAAGGCAGGUCAGACAGAUCUGGAUGAAACGUGGACGGAUCUGGUGCGAGCGCGCCGAACGGACGAAUGGAACUGAACGGACCUUCGACUCGAGGACCUCGCCGUAGGUGCUGAAGGCGUUGUUGAGGGAGUGGUCGUCGGUGGCCCAGGCGAGGCCGCCAACGAAGCAACGGUACUCAACGUCCGACGCCGCCAUCUCUUCCCUCUCGCCCACGAACCAGAACCUGAACACGAACCGGUGGGGGAGGAGAAGCCAACCCACCUCUGAGAAAGCACGGAGAGGACGAUGCCUCCCCCCGCCGCGCCUUUAAUAGAGGCUGGGGAUCCAGCUGUGGACGGCUUGUUGGGACCCGGAGCAGGUGGCCCCGACUGCGACGAGGCCGAUGGGAAGCGUGGGGGUGGGGCCCAGCAUGGCUGAUCUUUGGCCGCUGCAGCAGCCCGCAAGCCAGGCCAUCGAAAAUAUCUGGCGAUGCGAAAUGCCGAUUCUGCCCUUGGCUGCCAGCAUAUAGGCCCGCGCCGGCUUGGGCGACGACGUGGGUCCACGCAACACAACGAACGGACGAGAUGACGGCACGGAAAGCGAUUCCUCGCAACGGCAUCAUCUUGGCGAUGGUGAUGCCACUCGAGAUGCCAACGGUACUGUGUUUGAAUGCAUAUAAGAGUCCGUUACUAAAAUUAGUUGAGACAAGGAAACACUCUAGCUAAUAAUUUAGUUAUUAGCUAUUUUUAGUAAAUUAGUUAAUAUUUAGAUAAUUAUUUAUUAUCUAUCUAAUUUCACUAAUAAUUUUUAGACAACUAACUAUUAGGUUUAUAGUACAUUUAGACACUCACAUAAUUUACUCGCAUGCAUAUAGAUAAAAACUCUAUAGACCUUAUUUAGAUAUUCUAAUAUUUAAAGGUGUUUGAAUGCACUAGAGCUAAUAGUUAGUAGCUAAAAUUAGCUAAGACAUCCAAACACCCUAUCUAAUAGUUCAAUUAUUAAUUAUUUUUGGUAAAUUAGUUAAUAGUUAGCUAGCUAAUUUCACUAAUAAUUUUUAGUCAAUUAACUAUUAGUUCUAGUGCAUUCAACCACCCCUUAAAACUAAUAGCUAGUUGGCUAAAAAUCAUUAGUGAAAUUAGCUAGCUAAUAAAUAGCUACCUAACUAUUAACUAUUUUACUAAAAAUAGAAAAUAACUGAACUAUUAGCUACGGGGUUUGGAUGUCUCAACUAAUUUUAGCCACUAACUAUUAACUCUAGUGUAUUCAAACACCUCCUUAAUCUAAUUUAUAUAUAUUGAGAUAGGUUAGAGUAAAUAUUAUAGUAUCUAAAUAUAGUUAUAGGGUGUCGGUUUCAUUGUGAGUCUAUAUUCUCAAAUAUAAGUGCAUUUUUUAUUCUUAAUUUGACAAUUUUUCUUGUGGAUACGAAAAGUUUAUAUCUGUGUACCCGCUUACCUACAUUAUAUAUAUAUAUAUAUAUAUAAUAUGUAAUUAUGUGCUCACGGUAUAUCUAUAGGUUUGUGGCACCAUAGGUAGCUGAUACAGGUAACAUAUUAUACUCGUCGUGGGGUAACAAGUGUGGGUUUAUUAUUAACCUUGAGGGUACGGUUUGUAAACUCUAUACCCGUGAGUUUCAACUCGUUGACAUCCCUUAGAUGCCACCAAUCUUUAGAAAGGUUAGGACAAAUGUAACACCUCAAAAUUUUGAUUUUAGGUUUAUUAGUUGUUUUCCAAAAAAAUCAAAUUAAAGUGUCGUGUGAUGAAAGAUUAUAUAUUGAAAGUGACUCUUUCAAAAAAAAUAACAAUAAACAAAUAAAUAGGUGGUAUUAAAAGUUUGGUAGUUCAAAACUUAGAUUUAAACUUUUAAACCUUCAAUUUCAAACUCAAAGAGAAAUAAAAUAGAAAUAUCCUCAACUAUUUAAUUGAUGGAGCUAUUCUUUUAUGAAUUAGGUGUUUAAAAACCUUCCCUAAAAAGGAUUAAAGUAAAAGUACUUCUUAAUAAAGAUUAUACAUUAGAAAGUAUUUUCUCUUAAAACAAAUAAGUAAUAAAUAUUGAACUUUUGAAUGAACUUUUAAAUUGACUACGCAUUCAAAGUAAUAUAUUCUUAAAAUGGAUAAUGUGUGUUGUAUAUUUGAAACAUUUUCCUAAAUAGAUUAAUAAACUAACUAAGGUAAAAUCUUACUCUACAUCAUGUUAAGGUUCAUUGUUUGAUGCAUUUAACUUGUGUUUGAAUUUCAACAUAGAUUUAAAUUUAAAUUGAAAAUAGAAAAUAAAAUAGAAAAUAGAAAAGAAAAGAAAAAACCCUCGCCUGCACAGCCUAUAUCAUCCUCUCGGCCUAACUCCUCUGUUUCCUCCACGUCGGGCCAUUACCUAUGUGAUACCCAGUUUGCAAAGAAGAGAAGUUGGAGUUUAUUCUUUCUUGUUUUUUUUUGCUUCUCGUUUGGGUAGUGCACUUUUGGAGUUUGGAAUUGUUGGGUAGCAUUCGCUAGUAAAACAAUAGAAUUUUGGUUAGACUUGUGCGCCGGGAUCGGGAGUUGACGCGUGAGCGAGUUGGGCCGUGGUUCUUGAUCCGGCCCACUAACCCCCCUAACCCUAGCCGCCCCUUCCCCUAAUUCCCUUCCCCUUGUGCAGCCGCCCCCCCCCUCUCUAGCCUUUGGCCGCCAUCCCCUCCCCCUAAUUCCCUCUCUCUUGUGCAGCAGCCCCCAUCCCCUCAACCCUAGCCGCCACCCCCCCCUCCCAUCUCCUCCUCUCCAAGUGAUGUCCUUCCUCGCCGGAUCUUCUUCGUGUGGGUGCAAGUUCCGAUUGGAGAAUUGGUGGGGGAAGGAAGGAGGAAAGGAGGAACCUAAGGUGAUUUUGUGAUUAACUCUUGUUUAUUUGUGCUGCAAUUCAAUCGAUUAGAUGUUUACGUAUGCGAAUUGGUAGAGGUGCUGUCCAGAAAUUUUGUGGGUGCGCGAACAGCAGUAGUUCUAGCAGAUUCUGGGAAUUUUUCGUGGGUAAUUAGUGGGAAUCAGUGGGAGAAUCAUGUAGAGCUUUUUCAUACCUUUCCAACGAGUACUUAUGUGCUCGAUUCGGAGUUAUAUUUUAGGAGAUAUCGCUGUUUGAAUCCGGGUAUGUUGUUGUCCAAAAAAACAGAUUUUGCAGGUGGGCAAACAGCAGUAGUAUUAGCAGUUUCUGGGGAUUUUUCGUGGGAACUUAGUGAUAAUCAAUAUGAGAAUCAUUUAGAGCUUUGUCAUACCUUUCCAACGAGUACUUAUGCACUCGAUUCGGAGUUAUAUUUUAGGAGAUAUUGCUGUUUGAAUCCGGGUAUGUUGCUGUCAAAAAAAAACAGAUUUAUGCAGGUGGGCGAACAGCAGUAGUAUUAGCAGUUUCUGGGAAUUUUUCGUGGGAAAUUGGUGAUAAUCAAUAUGAGAAUCAUGUAGAGCCUUGUCAUACCUUUCUAACGAGUACUUAUGCGUUCGAUUCGGAGUUAUAAUUUAGGAGAUAUCGCUGUUUGAAUCCGGUUAUGUUGCUGUCCAAAAACAGAUUGCAGGGUGUAUCUUGUAGACGAGUUUGGGCUAAUUAGAUGCUGGAAUUUAAUUAUCAUUUGAAUAUAAAACUUGUGGGAAAUUUUAUGUAGAUGCUUCCGUAGUUUUUGAUUGAUACCACUGCUGUUAUAAUUUUAAAGUUAUGAAAUUAUCAAGCAGCACCGCUGCAGUUUGGUGGUGAUGGGGAGAGUUGUCGCUCGCAACGGGUUGGAAUUGUGCGUAGGUGCGGCGUUGUUUAUUAGCGUUUGUUAUGUUGAUUUGUACACUAAGGUGUGUGUCAAAAACAGGUGGUGGACUUCCGGAUCGUACUUAGUACCAUUCCAAAUUCCCGGUGAAGGCAAGUAAAUACAGUGUUGGUUGCUACCGUUUGGUUUGCAUCCUAUGCCUUGUCAUUGAGUAUGCAUAAGUAUUAAAUGUGUUAAUCAUUGAAUUCUAUGAUGAAGUUUAUUUGUUCGAAAGAAUUAAUUCUCAAUUGUCUAAUAUUGAGGAUGAUCAUGAUUUGGGAAUGAUAUAUGUGGUUGAUUCCCAUCUUGGAUGAAGUUGAAGUAUCUUUUUGAAUCAUGUUGUAUGAAGUGUUGUAGGCAUGUCAUGCACAUCGCAUCAUCCAUAUUGCAUUUUAAAGUUAUGUCGUGAUCUUAUGGUCCGACCGUACCGGUACACUUUUAGCAUCGUACGUUGCCCGAGGAGGGGUACGAUGCGGCUUCAUAUCCUUAGAGGUAUGAAGGCAGAAGUCAUCCUUGCAUUUGCAGACAUUUGCACUCAUGAGGUAUAUAUGAAGUGUGACAUUACUAUGUUACUAUUGUGGUUUCUACCUGCGAGGUGUGGUAACUAGGUGUGUUGUACGUUGUAUUCGUGCUGCACCUUCGUAAUAAGAAGGUUGCGAAAUCAAAUGGUGGUAAAACAAUGUUCUUAUGUGGUUAAACAGUUUGUUAUUAUUUUACUUGCUGAGAUGUGUCAUCUCACUCUUGCAUUACUCAAUGCAGGUACUUGAUAUAUGUUGGGAAUGAGGGGAGUAGCAGCACGUCCACUUUCACUCUCAUAUUAAGGCUGCCCAAGCGCAUCCAUGAUUUAAUUAGAAACUUGAUGUCAAAGGAUGUUUGUUUUUUUACUAGUCAUGCGCACUGGUUAAUUCAGUUCAUGUCGUAUGUUUAACUUUCCUUUGCUAGCCGUUUAAUAAUACUUAGUAUGUUUUUUUUGUCAUGAUACAUGUUUAUACACUGUUGCCCCCUCCUUUAUGCUAUUUUGCAAAGGAGAUGCUGUCGAAAUUUUAUAUACGGAUGUCAGAAGUGUAGUUCAGUAGCAUUCCGGGGUGUUUGUGCAUUCUGGGAUGUUACAGUUGGUAUCAGAGGAUAGGCUUUAGAUUCUACGCAAUUUGAAGAUAAAUUUGACACACUUGCACAUAUAGGAAGGGUAUGAGUUCGUAUAUCUUUCAUAUUAGUAUUUUAUUGUAUAGAUGACUAGAAUUCCCUUACUCCAAAUCCCUUUAUGGUUUGAUGGGAUAUGUCGUUAACGACUUAAUGCUUGAUAUGAUAUGUUACUUCUAUUUAAUAUUGGUUUCUUGAUGUGGUUGUUGCUGAAGUUAUUAUGCAAGUGAAGCUACUAAUGUACUUGUUUUGUAUACAUAUCGUCAUGAUGUUUUUUUAUGCGAUGUUUUUCAAAUCUCUGAGCUAUUACUAUCAUAUAUUUCUAUAUGCUUGACUGUGGAUGUUUUUUUAUGGAUUUCUUUGGGUUUUAGUACUUGUAGGACCGAUUGUUUAUUGAGUUUGUGUAUAGUGGGUCUAAUCCGGCUUGGUGUGGUGUGAAAACACGAUAUAAUGUAGUUUUAUCAUGUGGUUGAGUCUGAUUGAAUGUUGGGUUACAACCCAACUUAUCAAUGUAAUAUUUCCAUGGAUUCAAUGCUUUGUGCCUCACCCCUUUGGGCUAAUAUGGCUACUUGCCAACUUGAUCUUAGAGUACAAGAGGUUUGUCUCCAUAGAGCAAAGGCAAUGUUGUAAUGUUUAUGAAACCUUGAGACUGGUAGAACUCAAGUGAAUUUGUAAGAUGACGUGGAUAGAUAAGUUCAACCAUGUUUACAUGAUAGGUUUUCUUAUUGUGUGCAACCUUAGCAAUAAAUAGGGUGAUUUCAAGUGGAUUUUAUGUCUAUAUUAUAGUUGAAGAGGCAUGCAUGUUUUCCUUCCAUGGUUUGUUUCUAUAGCCAUGAAGGUUAUGCAUAUUUUUUUAGUUGUUGGAGGCUAGUCAUGUGGACGAUAUGGACAACCCAUUUUAUAUAUAUUUGUAAUCGCCGAUGAUAUAUGGUAGUUUUAUUUUUUUUGAUCUGUUCUCUAUGCAUGCUUGUUGAAUUAUUAUUUGGACCGCUUUAUCUUAAACAAAGUCAAUGCUUAACUGGAAGUUGCUUAUGUUUGUUAGUCAUCUAUCUCUAUAAUGAUGUGGUUGUUGCAUCAGAUGGAGAUUUUUUUCAUAUGAAUGAUGGUUUGAUAGAUCAUGUAUGUCUACUACUUUGAAUUCAUCCUAUGACAUCACGAGGUAGAAAUUGUUCAAGUGCAAUAAUAGGAGGUAUUGUUGUAUGUGAGGUUAAUCAAGGUAGUUUGAUUAGGUGGAUUGUCUUAUUGAAGUCCAAUUACUCCUGUUGAGCAUAGUAACGUGUUAUUGUUUUAGUGUUGAAAGUAAUAUUUAUGAAGCUUUUGCAUGAGUCUGUAUCAAGAAGAUCAUUAGUUUUUCUUGUUGUUAUCCCUCCAUUGCUUUAUGAGUGUUGCACAUUUUAUCUCUUUUGAGAGGAGAAAAAAAAGAUGUUAUAUGUCAUGAGCACCAUUUGCUUCACGUCAACAAAAUAGUUUUGGAGAUUUCUAUUAGUUGGAUUCUAGUGUAAUAACAACCAUGUUUUAUAGUGCUUGAGAUGGGUAUGUCAGGUGUUCCAUACAUUGUCGAUACAUGGAUGUUUGACCUUAGUGGCGUUAACAAACGAGGAUGUUGAAUUUGUUGAUUGUUGUGCUUAGUGUUCUAACCUAUUUGGUAGAGUUUUAUUUAAAGACUUUGUGGAGUUGCAUCCCAAUUUGGUAGUGGAAAAUCCUAGUGUUGAUUGCACCUGCCAGUGCCUUGGGUUUCAUUUUAUAUUGUUUUUUUAUUGUUGUUAAUGUGUUGUUUGGUUUUGGGAGGCAUUUUAAAUUAGUUGGAUGCUGAAUCAGGCUUCACUUGUCUAGAAUGUUUUGUAGUAUGUUUUUUCAUCUUUCCAUAGGAUGCUUAAUCACCCGGUUUGGUCCAAACAUUUGAGAGUUAUGGGUUUCCUAAAACAUCCUUAUUGGUGUCUGUGGCAGAAUGAGUCUUUAAUUUUGAACGGAAGAGUAGACAUUGAAGACAAUAUAAUUUGGUCUUUGUUGGAUUAUGAAAGUUUUAGCAAUUUUAUGAUCUUUCCAACGAGUAUUGGUUUGUAAUUCUCAUUGCAUAUAAUUGGAGUUAGGUUGCUCUGAAGUUGUUGCACCGUUGUGUCUGAACUUUAGUUGUCGUUAUAACCACCAAUAAAUCGACCACGUUUUGAUAGUUUCAUAGCCCAAAGUUGGGAAUUCUCUUUAAGCAAAACUUUUAGUUCUUCUCAGUACCUUUUAAAUGGGCAUUUACUUGUAAUUGUCUGUUAAAUAGAUUGGGAGAGGUGGUUGUCCGAUUAUAAGUCGAAUCUCUAAUGUGCAGUAUCUCAGGCUGAGUUUAGCUGUAGGUCAUGCAUAGUUGAGGGCUAUAAAGAUAAAUUUGGGUGCAACUUUAUUGCAAAAGUCGUGGACAAUUUUCAAAACUUUUCCAACGCGUGUUCGUUGUAGUUUAAGUUGAGUAUAGCAGGAGUUAUAGGUUUUUGAAUUUUAGUUGUCCAUUGUUUCAAUCCUAUCAGUUUUGCAACAAAAGUGUUGCAUUGUUUUAUCGGUUUGGAAACCAAAUUCGAGACACUCAUUAUAAUAAAAGUUUUAGGGAAUGUUAUAAUCUUUUCAAUGAGUUUAUAUUUGCAAAAUUUUGUUAGCUGUAGGGAGUUAUGAUAUAGUGUAUAGUUUGUGCUUGGAUAAAUAUGUGGGCAGGCAUAACAUGCUUAAAUUGAUUCUUGUUUGCAUGAUGUGAGAUUAGGCUUAAAUGAUUUAAAAAGUUAUCAUAUUGCUUCUAUACUUAUAUUUGUUCUAAGUGUCUCGUAAUAAAGAACCUAAAGUUAUUAGUCUUUCGAUGAACGCUUUAUCUUAGAAGAGUAAUGAACCUCAUAAAAUCUAUUGCUUGUUGUUGGGACUGCAUGACCAGUUUUAGUUAUGCAGCUAGUUCAAUGAAGUAAACCAUCUUUUCUGUAGAGAUGUUAUAUAUAAAAGUUGUAGCCAACUUCUUUAUCUUAUUUGUGUAAAAUUUUCAUGACCAUAGGUCUAGUAGUUUGGGAGUUAUGAUUUUCUCAAGUCCAGUCUUGGAAUCUGUCCAGAUUUUGUACAGACUUCGAAACUGACCUCGUUUGCCCAAUUUAAACUUCGAAUAAGUUCUUAUAAAUUAUAAAUAAGUUGUAGUACUUUUCUUAAUCUUUUCAACAAAUUUUGGAUCACCUUUUUUUGGAGAUCUAUAAGUUAAGUUACGACUGUUUUAAGUGUGAUCUUUGAAUCUGUCCAAAUUUGGACAGCAGAGCCUUUCUUAUGUCUUUUGACCUUGAUAUGCAUUGAAUUAACAUGAUAUGUUAUAAAUGAAUUAUAGACAAUUCUAUUAGAUUUCUAAAAAGUCUAGGAGCACCUGAAUUGGAUGACUGAGACUCCAAUUAGGGAUUUUUUUGAAUUGAGUAGUUGAAUUCUAUCCAAGUCUGGACAGAAUUUACGUUUAGCAUUGUUUGACCUUUCUAUGUGUCAAAUCUUGUUGUGAUGAUAAUAGCAAGGGUAUAGUGGACUUUAUAAGAUUUCCAUAAAGUCCUAGUCUACUAUUUUGGAUGCAUAUUUUGUGAGUUAUGAGCAAAACAAUUAACCGCUGUGCUGCUGUCCAGAAAUAUGCAAGCAUUAAGUUGCUCUCUUGAAGUUGCUCUUGUUUGGCUAAGUUUGGUUUAGGCUAUAGGAACACUAUAUGCAUUGCAUUCAUAUAUACAUUCCUUGAAGUACUUGCAUAUGUCAAUGUUGAUUUGGUGUCAGGAAAGCUUUGUCCGAGAUAUAUAGGACUGUCUACUAUCUUAGCCGAGUUGGCAGCUGGGCUUAGCACAUACAAUUGUCGGGAUCUAUAAUCAUAGUACACCAUGUAUUCCAUGUCUUUAUGUUGAGGAAGUAUUUGAGGAAUCCAGAGCAUCAAAUCGAGCUAGAGUCGAUUCCCUGUGUAGCAAGACCAGACUCUAGAGUGUCGUCUGCUGCGUAUCUUAGAAUCCUAGGAGCUUGAGGAGCUGAUGUGGCAGAAGUACCCGAACUUUUCAUUAUGUGUGAGUUUUGUUGAUUCAUUAAUCUUGCUUUUGUCGUUCCGAUAAAAGCGUCAGAAUUCGAGGUCGAAUUCUUUUUAAGGGGGGUAGAGUGUGAUACCCAGUUUGCAAAGAAGAGAAGUUGGAGUUUAUUCUUUCUUGUUUUUUUUGCUUCUCGUUUGGGUAGUGCACUUUUGGAGUUUGGAAUUGUUGGGUAGCAUUCGCUAGUAAAACAAUAGAAUUUUGGUUAGACUUGUGCGCCGGGAUCGGGAGUUGACGCGUGAGCGAGUUGGGCCGUGGUUCUUGAUCCGGCCCACUAACCCCCCUAACCCUAGCCGCCCCUUCCCCUAAUUCCCUUCCCCUUGUGCAGCCGCCCCCCCCUCUCUAGCCUUUGGCCGCCAUCCCCUCCCCCUAAUUCCCUCUCUCUUGUGCAGCAGCCCCCAUCCCCUCAACCCUAGCCGCCACCCCCCCUCCCAUCUCCUCCUCUCCAAGUGAUGUCCUUCCUCGCCGGAUCUUCUUCGUGUGGGUGCAAGUUCCGAUUGGAGAAUUGGUGGGAGGAAGGAAGGAGGAAAGGAGGAACCUAAGGUGAUUUUGUGAUUAACUCUUGUUUAUUUGUGCUGCAAUUCAAUCGAUUAGAUGUUUACGUAUGCGAAUUGGUAGAGGUGCUGUCCAGAAAUUUUGUGGGUGCGCGAACAGCAGUAGUUCUAGCAGAUUCUGGGAAUUUUUCGUGGGUAAUUAGUGGUAAUCAGUGGGAGAAUCAUGUAGAGCUUUUUCAUACCUUUCCAACGAGUACUUAUGUGCUCGAUUCGGAGUUAUAUUUUAGGAGAUAUCGCUGUUUGAAUCCGGGUAUGUUGCUGUCCAAAAAAACAGAUUUUGCAGGUGGGCAAACAACAGUAGUAUUAGCAGUUUCUGGGGAUUUUUCGUGGGAACUUAGUGAUAAUCAAUAUGAGAAUCAUUUAGAGCUUUGUCAUACCUUUCCAACGAGUACUUAUGCACUCGAUUCGGAGUUAUAUUUUAGGAGAUAUUGCUGUUUGAAUCCGGGUAUGUUGCUGUCAAAAAAAACAGAUUUAUGCAGGUGGGCGAACAGCAGUAGUAUUAGCAGUUUCUGGGAAUUUUUCGUGGGAAAUUGGUGAUAAUCAAUAUGAGAAUCAUGUAGAGCCUUGUCAUACCUUUCUAACGAGUACUUAUGCGUUCGAUUCGGAGUUAUAAUUUAGGAGAUAUCGCUGUUUGAAUCCGGUUAUGUUGCUGUCCAAAAACAGAUUGCAGGGUGUAUCUUGUAGACGAGUUUGGGCUAAUUAGAUGCUGGGAUUUAAUUAUCAUUUGAAUAUAAAACUUGUGGGAAAUUUUAUGUAGAUGCUUCCGUAGUUUUUGAUUGAUACCACUGCUGUUAUAAUUUUAAAGUUAUGAAAUUAUCAAGCAGCACCGCUGCAGUUUGGUGGUGAUGGGGAGAGUUGUCGCUCGCAACGGGUUGGAAUUGUGCGUAGGUGCGGCGUUGUUUAUUAGCGUUUGUUAUGUUGAUUUGUACACUAAGGUGUGUGUCAAAAACAGGUGGUGGACUUCCGGAUCGUACUUAGUACCAUUCCAAAUUCCCGGUGAAGGCAAGUAAAUACAGUGUUGGUUGCUACCGUUUGGUUUGCAUCCUAUGCCUUGUCAUUGAGUAUGCAUAAGUAUUAAAUGUGUUAAUCAUUGAAUUCUAUGAUGAAGUUUAUUUGUUCGAAAGAAUUAAUUCUCAAUUGUCUAAUAUUGAGGAUGAUCAUGAUUUGGGAAUGAUAUAUGUGGUUGAUUCCCAUCUUGGAUGAAGUUGAAGUAUCUUUUUGAAUCAUGUUGUAUGAAGUGUUGUAGGCAUGUCAUGCACAUCGCAUCAUCCAUAUUGCAUUUUGAAGUUAUGUCGUGAUCUUAUGGUCCGACCGUACCGGUACACUUUUAGCAUCGUACGUUGCCCGAGGAGGGGUACGAUGCGGCUUCAUAUCCUUAGAGGUAUGAAGGCAGAAGUCAUCCUUGCAUUUGCAGACAUUUGCACUCAUGAGGUAUAUAUGAAGUGUGACAUUACUAUGUUACUAUUGUGGUUUCUACCUGCGAGGUGUGGUAACUAGGUGUGUUGUACGUUGUAUUCGUGCUGCACCUUCGUAAUAAGAAGGUUGCGAAAUCAAAUGGUGGUAAAACAAUGUUCUUAUGUGGUUAAACAGUUUGUUAUUAUUUUACUUGCUGAGAUGUGUCAUCUCACUCUUGCAUUACUCAAUGCAGGUACUUGAUAUAUGUUGGGAAUGAGGGGAGUAGCAGCACGUCCACUUUCACUCUCAUAUUAAGGCUGCCCAAGCGCAUCCAUGAUUUAAUUAGAAACUUGAUGUCAAAGGAUGUUUGUUUUUUUACUAGUCAUGCGCACUGGUUAAUUCAGUUCAUGUCGUAUGUUUAACUUUCCUUUGCUAGCCGUUUAAUAAUACUUAGUAUGUUUUUUUUGUCAUGAUACAUGUUUAUACACUGUUGCCCCCUCCUUUAUGCUAUUUUGCAAAGGAGAUGCUGUCGAAAUUUUAUAUACGGAUAUCAGAAGUGUAGUUCAGUAGCAUUCCGGGGUGUUUGUGGAUUCUGGGAUGUUACAACCUACCUGUAACACUCUGAAUUUGGGGGUAUAGAACUUCUUUCUAAAUAUCUACUAAAUUCAAGUAUUACCUCUUGUCUCUCUCUUUAGUCUCUCUCACUCUUUCUUUUGAUUAGAAUUAAGUUAAAUAGGAGAGGGAUUAAUUAUUUAUUUUAUCAAAACAAUAUGAGUCAUGAAUGUUGCAUCAUGCUGAGCCUAAAUUAUUCUUUUGUUUGAUGCACAUGUUUGAAAUGGUUUGAAUUUGUAUUUGAUUUGAAUUUGGUUUGAAAACCCUAGAGUAAAUAAAAUAGAAAAGCAAUUGGAAAUUCCAUAAAAUAGAAAAUCCCAUUUCGGCCCAGCUAGCCCAAGCCGCGCCCGCGCACCAGCCCUCCCUAACAGUAGUUGGCUUCGUCGUAGGGCCGUCAAUGGGGUCCAGGCACAGUACUUGCUAUGCCGAGGCUGGUUGCAGAGGUUCUUGAUUUGGUUUUGUUAGUCACCCUUCCUGUGGGGAGAAGUAUUGUGUUUAUCAAACCGGAGAAACCUAACUGACGGCUAUGACCUCUGGGGAAUCUUUGUAAAGGCUACGUAGUGAGACCCUGCUAGAUCACCUUGGUAGUGAUCAAUGGAGAGUCAUGAUCUCCGGGUAGAAUGGGAAUCAUGACUUGUGGGUAAAGUGUGUGACCUCCGCAGAGUGUUAGAAAUUGGUAUAUCGGUCGUGCUCACGGUUAAGAGUGGCCUUGGGAUUCUCUUUGAUUAGAAGAACUUUGGAUACCCUUAUGGUGAUGUUUAAUGAUGAUGGUUAUAACUAUGAUCUCUUGUGUUUCCUCUUGGAGGGAGUACAUUUGGGUAAUAACUGGGUUUAUUACUAAAAUUUGGCUCUACUAAUAGUAACAAAUACUUGACCAACUAAAAGCAACCGCUUAACCUUAACUCCACAUACAGCUAGUCCACUUUAGCCAAACGGGACAUUUGCUUAGUACGUUGAUGUGUACUCACCCUUACUUUAAAAACCACCCCACCAUAGGUUGUCCCCAUUGUAUUCAAUGCUCAGGAGGAGAUGCUAGCAACAUGGAUAUUUCCUUUACGGUGAUGUGGUAAGUUGUUUAUGGCUUAAUGCUUGAUAUAAUUUAUUUCUGAAAUUUUGAUAUUGUUUUAUUAAUGCGGUAGAUAUCGCUGGUCAUUGGUGAGAAUGAAGUUGUUAUUAUGCUUGUGAUAUACAAGUAUGCCUAUGUUGUUUUCACCAUGUUUUUCAUGGUUGAGUUUUAUUACAAUAAUAUUGUUAUAUAUGCUUGAUUGUGGAUGUUUCUAAGAGGAGUGUGAAUUGCGUGUUUUGGGGUACAAGGUAAUCAUCAAUUUGAAUUUAAGUUGUUGAGCGGUUGGUGGAUAGCUCCAACUAUCAUUUCAAAGAAUGAUUGUUUAUGUUGAGAAACCAGUUUUGAAAGAAAUGAAUAUUGGUACUUUAUAUGGAUUUUUGGGGGAAGUCUUUUCAUAGCCAGAAUGGCUUACAUGUCUCUCUCAUAUUGUGUGUUUUAGUUGCCACAAAGCCUAGAUGUGGUUUAAAGUGGUUGCCUGUUAGUCAUACUAAUUGUAGAAUAAAUCUUUGAUUCUCUUGAUCCAUUGAUUAUGUAUUGAUACAUUGAGGAUCUGAUGGUUCCCUUUUCGAUGCAUGCUUGUGGAGCCAUUUUUUUAGACCACCUAUCUAUUGGUUUGAAGGAAGUCCUUGCCUAGCCUAGAGUUGGUUGGGUGUGGCUAGUCACCUAUUCCUAGAUCAUGUGGUGUUUACAUCAGCUUAAUAUGUUUGUCAAAUGUGUGAAGGAUUAGGGGUUAUUAUUAUUGACUUUGUAUGUCUGGUACUUUGAGUGCAUCGUAUGAUAGAAUGAAAUGUAAGUUUCUGAACUACAGUAGAUGAAGACUUAUAUUAUGUGUAGGUUAUCCUUACUAGUUGGAUAUUUUUCUUAGUUGAGAUGUUGAAUGAAGUAUAGUGACAUGGGUUAAGCAAGUAUUGUGUUGUUGUUGGGCUAUCAGUGCUCUAUGUAGAGUUUUUGGCAUUUCUUCGAUGAACUAUGCUGCACAAGAUGUUAUUGGCUUCUUUUGGCUUUAUUGCUCCAUUAGUUCUAUAGAUUUUCUCCCUUUUGGUGGGGUGCAAGGAAUGUUAGAUUACAUGAUUAUCUUUUCAUGAUGGCAAGAAUAAGGUUUAGGAAGAUUAGGAGUUUUGUUCCAAUAGAACUACUUGUUUCAUAGUGCUUUAAGGUGAGGUGUUUGAUCUUCUUAUACAUUCGUCGGGUGUAGAUGUUUCACCAUUUAAUUAAAAUUAAUGGUUGAAGUUGGUAAGGGUUGUGCUUGGUGCAUAUUACCCCUUCAUAAAAGAGUGUUGUCUUAAGACAUUGAUGUUGAUGUAUAGCUGCAUCCAAAUUUGAUGGUGUGAAAUUGGAGUGUUGAUUGCAACUAUGACAUGCUUUGAGCUUCAUUACAUGUUGUUUCAUGCUUGAUGUCAGGUCGUGUAGUUUCCUUAGACAAUUAGUCCAAGGUAGAAGUUCUUGUGUUAAUUAAGACCAAUAAUGGACCCAUGUUUUGAAUUGUGGUGCUAUAUGGGGUACCUUGGGUGUUUUGCUUGGAGUGGCCGAAUUCGAGGUCGAAUUCUUUUUAAGGGGGGUAGAGUGUAAUAUCCCAAAAAAAAUGUUGACCAAAAGUUAAUCUCUGGUGCGUGGAUGAGGUAAAGGGUUGUGGGCCAUUGGAUGCAAAGAUAGAAGUCAUCUGAGGCGUCGUUUCUUUCUCCCACAAAAACCCUAGGUGGCCACCCCUUUUUUUUUCCCUUCACCCCCCCUCUUGGCCGCCACCCCCUUUUUCUCCCCCUUGGCUGGACGCCCCCUCCCCCUAUGGCAGCCAUCCUCUAUUGCUUCCUCCCCCAAGAUCUCCCCCUACGCAGCAAGGAUCGAGAAAAGGAGGGGCACGUUGAAUUGAAGAGGAAGAGAGGAUCAAGGAGAUGUUCUUCCCCAUCUCCUCUUGAAGAUUUCUUGGGGAAACCCUAGGUAUGGAUGAGAUCCUUGUUCCUCCCUGUAAUUAUAGGCUUUUGGAGGUUGUGGAUCAUGGGAAUUAAAGGAUUAGAGGUUGGAUUUGAUGUGGGGUUAGAUUUUGAUCUCGAAUUUAGUUUUCUGCAGAAUGGCAGAUUCGACAGUUUCUGUUCAUGCCAGUUUUCCGUGGUCUUAGUGGCCUCAAAAAAAUAAAAAGUCUAUGUAUGAGUCGUAGAUAAUUUGUAGAUCUUUCCGUGGCCGCGAAGAACACCUCAAUCGGACAUCCGACCAGAAAGUUAUUGCAGUUUUACUAUAGCAGUUUUUCAGUCUCAUAAUUCUGUGCAGAAUCUGUUCUCUUAAGAUUUAGGCAAUUUUAUCAACAGAAUUAAACUGUGGGUUGGUAAAAGAAGUUGUAGAUAAUUUUAUAAGCUUUCCAGAUUGUUAAAGAGUGCAUUCAUAUGAUUUGUGAAACUCCAGUUAUGUUUGUUUUACUGUGGCUGUUCCUGUUUACCUGACAAAAAUGAGUGGGUCUGUUCACUGGUGGGUUUCAUCUAGUAAAUGACCGAAUUGGCUCUUCCAACUAUGGAGACUUUUGUAGAGGGAUAAAAGUUCUUACUUCCAGCGGAAUUUCAUAAUUUUUGGUUCAGCAGUUUUGGAGAUAUCGAAUUUUAAAGUUAACCAUACUGCUGUCUAAAACAGAUUCAGUCAGUUAUCUUAUCAGAUGUUUUAGAACUUGUAGAUGGCAGAAUUUAAUUAUCUAUUGAAUACUGAAGUUGUAGAGUAUUUUGUGUAGAUACUCCUAGAGUAUUUGUUUGAUAUCACCGCUGUUUUAAUUUUAAAGAUACAAAAUUAACAAACAGCGUUACUGCUGUAUGGCAUGUGGUUCAGGGUGGGAGUCUUUCCACUGGGUCUUGGUUUCAAGUGUAGGAGUGUUUUGUUGAUUGAUGGCAAAUGUUUGUGAAAUAUUUGUACUAAGUUUUAUGCCCACUAGCAGGUGGCUACACUCCAGAUCAUGUCUAGUACAUUUCUUCUUCUUCAAUGAAGGCAAGUGAAUGUAGCGGUGGUUGCUUCCGUUCUGACCUGUUAUUUCUAUCGCCUACACUCUAAUAUUCAGAAGUAUCAGAUUCUUUCAUAAUUGGACUCUAUGGUGAUGCUUUACUUGCUUGCAUUAUACUGAUGCUCAAUCAUAUAUUGAUGAUGAUUAUGAUUUGAGUAUGACUCAUGAGAUUAAUUCACACCCCUGAAGGUAAAUGAAGUAUUAUUUGAGGUUGGUAUUGUAUCUGAAGGUAAAUGAAGUAUUAUUUGAGGUUUGUGUUGUAUCUGAAGGAAGUGAAGUUUAUUGAUAAAUGUAGCAUGCCAUAUACAUUGCAUGACUCAUUUGCGUAUGAAGUUUUGUCGUGACCUAUGGUCCGACCGUACCGGUACAACUUAGCAUCGUACGUUGCCCGAGAAGGGGUACGAUGCGGCUUCAUACCCUUAGAGGUAUGAAGGCAGAGGACAUAUGCAUUGCAUUCAUAUGCAUUCAUUGAAGUGAUAUUUGCAGAUGAUGUGGUUUUAUACCCCCAGAGGUAUGAAGAUAGAGUACCUACACAUUGCAUUCCUAUGCAUACAUUGAAGUGAUAUUUGCAGGUAUUGUUGACGCAGGGAAGUGUUAUAGAACCUAUUGUGGUUGUUCGAGGAAAUGAGAUGAUAUUGGUUAUAGUGGGACUACUGAGUUCUAUAUCUACAAGCAUUUCUGAUUUUUAAUUGUGACUCUUUUAAAAUGUUGAUGAAUCAAUUUGUGGUUUAAAUAUCUCGUCAGAACAAUUAGCUUGCUGAGAUGUUUCAUCUCACUCUUGCAUUACUCAAUGCAGGUGCUUGUUGCUCAUCAAGGGGAGUGGGAAGUAGCAGCACAUCCACCUUCAUUCUCAUAAUAAUGCUGCCCAGACGCAGCCAUGAUUUAAUUAGAAACUUCUUGUCAAAGGAUGUUUGUUUUUAACUAGUCGUGCGCACUGAUUAAUUCAGUUCAUGUUGUUAUGGUUGUCUUCCCAUUGCUAGCAGAUUAUUAAUGUCUUAUAUGUUUUCUUAUCAUGAUAUCUAUUUAUACUUUGUUGCUUCCCCCAUUUAUGCAAUUCAUAAAAGAGAUGCUGUCGAAAUUUUAUAUAUGAAUAUUAGAUGUGUAGUUUAGUAGCAUUCUGGGGUGUUUGUGGAUCCCGGGGUGUUACAGUAAUCGCUAUGUACGUGAGUUUCUAAUCCUGGCACGUACAUGGUUCGCAUAUGGUUUGCCUUCCAAAACCAGGUGUGACAUAAGUGGUAUCAAAGCAUUGCUGACUGUAGGACCGCUAACCAAGACUAGAAUGGUCUCCCUAAGGACUAUAGACCUCUACUCUUACCUUACCUUUAGUUUCAUUUAAAAAGUUGGUCAUCUUGACCAAUUCUAUGUUAUUACUCAUCCUACAAAAUUUUCAUCUCACUUUGCUUUCUGUUUACUUGUUGGUCAUGUAGUUCUACUCUCACUCUUGUGCUUACGAUGUAUUUUGUAGAUAGCCCGUAUUAGAUGUACUGUACGUAAGUCAGUGAUCCCCUUUUGCCGUCUCGCUUGGCGGAGUGCCCACUGUGCCGCACGGUGACAGGUCAGUCUAGUCAUAUGGAGAGACUGCAUUGUCGCCUACAUGAGGAGUAGGAGCGCCGAUGUCAGGAGCAGGAGCAGCAGGACUCUUCCCCCUCGCCUCAGCAGGAGGUGGAGUCUGGGAGGCAGUCUUCCCCUGCACCACCAUAGGGCAUCCUGGCUGCUGGAGGAGACCCUGAAGGAGACGAUGACGACGACGCCGGUGGCAGUUUGAGCCACAUCACGGAGCUCUCGGAGGAGCAGGAGCUAGAGGGAUGGAUUGCUAGACCCAUUACCCGCGACGCCGCUCGCGGGUGUCACUUCCAUGACGCUCUCGACACCUUGCUACGUCGGGCCUUCGACCGACACACUUGGUCUAUUGAGUACCGUUGUGUAGUCUACCAGCAUCAUCGUGGGUUAUACCCAGACCAGUGGGAGGCUACUUGCUUGGUGCGUCGUUCAGACGAUGAUCUCCGGGGUGCAGAGGCCUUCUCAGAGCAUUACUCUAUCACUGAGAGGGAUACGGUCGAGGCAGCCAUGCAAGAUGAUGCAUGACGUGCACUUUCACAGUAUUGCUCGUUGUUCAGUGGGGUAGCUGAUGGCCUCGACCUGAAGUACUACCCUCCCCGUUCGACCGGCAGUGCUGGAGGUGUGAUUGUCUUGCCCUUUGGUGAGGGCAAUCCCAGGCUGAACAGCAUGGUCAACCUGGUCGCCGUGCUCAACACCGAGCUGGACCACGCCCUUGACGAGUUGGGCAAGGUUUGGGUGGAGGUUGCGGAAUUGCGUGCUGAGCGCGCAGCGCGUCGCUAUCAGGAUGGUGGUUCUCCCGCUCCUGUCGGGAUUCAGCACCCUUACCGCUCGCCGCCCCGUGGUCGCUUUGAUUAUGACACCCCUGACUGUAGGACUUAGAUAGAUUUUGAGCCAUAGAUCGACAGAGUCGGAGUCUGUAAUAAUGCUUAAUCCAGUGUCUUGGUUUUAGCCAGUCUUAGUUAGUGUUAGUUUGUGAAAGGGAAAUAGGCUUACACAUUUUCCUAAUUGAUUUUGGUGGUUGAAUUGCCCAACACAAAUAAUUGGACUAACUAGUUUGCUCUAGAUUAUAAGUUUUAUAGGUGCCAAAGGUUCACAACAAACCAAUAAAAAGACCAAGAAAGGGUUCAAACAAAGAGAGCAAAAGACUACCGAAGUGUGCCCUGGUCUGGCGCACCGGACUGUUUGGUGUGCCACCGGACAGUGUCUGGUGCACCAGGGAAUUCCAGUCUAAACUUGCCACCUUCGGGAAUUCUGGGAGGCACUCUGCUAUAAUUCACCGGACUGUCCGGUGUAGCACCAGACUGUCCGGUGUGCCAGCGGAGUAACGGCUUCACAGCGCCAAUGGUCAUCUGCAACGAGCAGUUAAUGCGCUACAGUGCGCGCAGAAGUCAGAGCAGAUCCAGAAGGCGCACCGGACAGUGAACAGUGACUGUCUGGUGCACCACCGGACUGUCCGGUGGCCCAGCUAUCAGAAGCUCCAACGGUCAGAACCCAACGGCCGAGUGAUGUGGCUGGCGCACCGGACAAUGUCCGGUGGCGCACCGGACUGUCCGGUGCGCCAUGCGACAGCAGCCUCCACCAACGGCUCCUUUGGUGGUUGGGGCUAUAAAUACCCCCAACCACCCACCAUUCAUUGCAUCCAAGUUGUCAGCCUUCACACUUCAUACAAGAGCUAUAGCAUUCAAUAUAAGACACAAACAAGAGAUCAAAUCCUCUCCCAAGUCCAAAGACAAUUUCAAUCAAAUAGUGACUAGUGAGAGAGAGAUACUUGUGUUCAUUUGAGCUCUUGCACUUGGAUUGCUUUUCUUCUUCCUUCAUUCUUGUGUUCAAUUCACUUAUAUUCAAAACAAGAGACACCAAGUUGUGGUGGUCCUUGUAGUGGACUUAGUGUCCCAUUUGAUUGAAGAGAAAGGCUCACUCGGUCUUGGUGACCAUUUGAGAGAGGGAAAGGGUUGAAAGAGACCCGGUCUUUGUGACCACCUCAAUGGGGAGUAGGUUUGCAAGAACCAAACCUCGGUAAAACAAAUCACCGUGUCAUCCGCUCUUAUUCGCUUGUGAUUUGUUUUCACCCUCUCUUUUGGACUCGCAUUUAAUUCUAACGCUAACCCGGCUUGUAGUGUGUGCUUAAGUUUAUAAAUUUCAGAUUUGCCUAUUCACCCCCCCUCUAGGCGACUUUCAAUUGGUAUCGGAGCCCGGUACUUCAUUAGAGCCUAACCGCUCAAAGUGAUGUCAGGAGACCACGCCAAGAAGGAGAUGGUGACCGGCGAGAAGCCCGCCACAAGCCAUGGGCAGGCUCCAUCCGGGGAGUCCGGCAACAAGGUGAAGGGAUCCCCUUCAUACGACAAGUCACGUCGGAGCGGCGAGAAGAAAAAGAAGAUGAAGAAAGUGGUCUACUAUGAGACCGACUCUUCAUCGCCAUCCACCUCCCGCUUCGACACGCCGUCCGUAACUUCUAAGCGCCAUGAGCGCAAGAAGUUUAGUAAGAUUCCCCUACGCUAUCCUCACAUUUCCAAACGUACUCCUUUACUUUCUGUCCCAUUAGGCAAACCACCCAUGUUUGAUGGUGAAGAUUAUAAUAUGUGGAGUGACAAAAUGAGGCACCAUCUAACCUCACUCCACACUAGUAUUUGAGAUGUUGUUGAGAUUGGAGUAUAGGUACCAUCACCGGGGGAUGAAAACUAUGACUCGGACGAAGUUGCCCAAAUUCGGCACUUCAACUCCCAAGCCACCACUAUACUCCUCGCCUCUCUAAGUCGAGAGGAGUAUAACAAGGUGCAAGGGUUGAAGAGCGCCAAGGAGAUUUGGGAUGUGCUCAAAACCGCGCACGGAGACAAGGUGAUCAAGUUCACCAAGAGGGAAACGAUCGAGGGGGAGCUCAGUCGCUUCAUGCUUCACCAAGGGGAGGAGCCACAAGCAAUGUACAACCGGCUCAAGACAUUGGUGAACCAAGUGCACAACCUCGAGAGCACCAAAUGGGAUGACCAUGAAAUGGUCAAGGUUAUUCUUAGAUCACUCGUAUUUCUUAACCCUACUCAAGUUCAAUUAAUUCGUGGUGAUCCAAGAUAUAAACUAAUGUCUCCCGAGGAAGUAAUAGGAAAAUUUGUGAGCUUUGAAUUGAUGAUCAAAGGCUCCAAGAAAAUCAUCGAGCAAGGCGCCACCUCAUCAUCCGAGGUGCAACCCGUCGCAUUCAUGGCAACGGAAGAAGAAAAGAAAGACUCUACACCUAGUAGGGUCCCCAUCGACGCCUCCAAGCUCGACAAUGAGGAGAUGGCGCUCAUCAUCAAGAGCUUUCGCCAAAUCCUCAAGCAAAGGAGGGGGAAAGACUACAAGUCCCGCUCCAAGAAGGUUUGCUACAAAUGUGGUAAGCCCGGUCAUUUUAUCGCUAAAUGCCCUUUGUCUAGUGAUAGUGACAGGGAUAACGACAAGAAGGGAAAUAGGAGAGAAAAGAAGAGGUACUACAAGAAGAAGGGCGGCGAUGCCCAUGUUUGCCGGGAGUGGGACUCCGACGAGAGCUCCACUGACUCCUCCUCCGACAAGGACGCCACCAACAUCGCCGUCACCAAAGGACUCCUCUUCCCCAACAUCGGCCACAAGUGCCUCAUGGAAAAGGACGGCAAAAGGAAGAAGGUAAAAUCUAGAGCUUCCACUAAAUAUGCAACUUCUAGUGAUGAGGCUAGCUCUAGUGAUGAUGAGGAUAAUUUGCUCACCCUUUUUGCCAACUUGAACAUGCAACAAAAAGAAAAAUUAAAUGAGUUGAUUAGUGCUAUUCAUGAAAAGGAUGAACUCUUGGAUAGCCAAGAGGACUUCCUAAUUAAGGAAAACAAAAAGCAUGUUAAAGUUAAAAAUGCUUAUGCUCUAGAGGUUGAAAAAUGCGAAAAAUUAACUAGUGAGCUAAGCACUUGUCGUGAUGUUAUUUUCAACCUUAGAGAUGAAAAUGCUAAAUUAAUUGCUAAGGUUGAGAAAUUAGAUAUUUGUGAUGAUUCAAUUGUUAGCCUUAGAAAUGAUAAUGCUAGUUUGACUACUAAGAUUGACAAUUUGAAUGCAUCGCUUUCUAGCCUUAAAUUUGAGAAUGAUAAAUUAAUUGCUAAGGCUAAGGAAUUAGAUGUUUGCAAUGUUUCUAUUUCCAAUCUUAGAGAUGAAAAUGACACUUUACAUGCUAAGAUUGUUGAACUAAAUUCUUGCAAACCCUCUACAUCCACCGUUGAGCAUGUUGCUAUAUGCACUAGAUGUAGAGAUGUUAACGUUGAUGCUAUUCAUGAUCACAUUGCUAUGAUUAAAUAACAAAAUGAUCAUAUAGCAAAAUUAGAUGCUAAAAUUGCCGAGCAUGAGUUAGAAAAUGAAAAAUUUAAAUUUGCUCGUAGCAUGCUUUAUAGUGGGAGACGCCCUGGCAUUAAGGAUGGCAUUGGCUUCCAACAGGGAGACAAUGUCAAGCUUAAUGCCCCUCCUAAAAGAUUGUCUAAUUUUAUCAAGGGCAAAGCUCCCAUGCCUCAGGAUAACGAGGGUUACAUUUUAUACCCUGCCGGUUAUCCCGAGCACAAAAUUAGGAGAAUUCACUCUAGGAAGUCUCACUCUGGCUCCCAUCAUGCUUUUAUGUAUAAGAGUGAGGCAUCUAGUUCUAGGCAAUCAACACAUGCUAAAUUGCGUAAGAAGAAAACUCCUAUUGCAUCAAAUGAACAUAACAUUUCAUUUAAGACUUUUGAUGCAUCAUAUGUUUUAACUAACAAAUUAGGCAAAGUAGUUGCCAAAUAUGUUGGGGGCAAACACAAGGGGUCAAAGACUUGUGUUUGGGUACCCAAGGUGCUUGUUUCUAAUGUCAAAGGACCCAAGACCGUUUGGGUACCUAAGAACAAGGCCUAAAUUUGUUUUGUAGGUUUAUGCAUCCGGGGGCUCAAGUUGGAUCAUCGGUAGCGGGUGCACAAACCACAUGACAGGGGAGAAAAGGAUGUUCUCCUCCUAUGAGAAAAACCAUGAUCCCCAACGAGCCAUCACAUUCGGGGAUGGAAAUCAAGGUUUGGUCAAAGGAUUGGGUAAAAUUGCUAUAUCACCUGACCACUCUAUUUCCACUGUUUUUCUUGUAGAUUCUUUAGAUUACAAUUUGCUUUCCGUUUCUCAAUUAUGUAAAAUGGGCUACAACUGUCUUUUAUAGAUAUAAGUGUUAUUGUCUUUAGAAGAAGUGAUGAUUCAGUAGCAUUUAAGGGAGUGUUAGAGGGUCAGCUACACUUAGUUGAUUUUAAUAGAGCUGAACUCGACACUUGCCUAAUUGCUAAGACUAACAUGGGUUAGCUCUGGCACCGCUGACUAGCCCUUGUUGGGAUGAAGAAUCUUCAUAAGCUUCUAAAGGGAGAGCACAUUUUGGGACUAACCAAUGUUCAUUUUGAGAAAGACAGGGUUUGUAGCGCAUGUCAAGCAGGGAAGCAAAUUGGAGCCCAUUGUAGCAUCCCAAAAAUUCAAAUCCUGAAAUUUUCUCAAACUUGCUCUAAAUUCAAAAUGAAUUUCAAAUUUCAUUUCAAAAUGUUUGUUUGCAAGUUGAUAUCAACAAGUAAAAUAUAGUGGUCUAUAUUCUCUCUAAAAUCCUCCUCAAAAUAUCCUACAAAUAUUUCCCCUGUGAUCACCCUCAAACUCUUUCAGAAAUACUGCCCAAAUAUUCCACCGAUAUACCUCCAAGUAUUUUCUUCCUAAGAAAUACCUUCAGAAUCAUUUUUCAAGCCCCCACAAAUAUUUUCUUCAUAACUUUCCUCAUGCUCAUACGUAUACAUAUGCCUCCAGUGUCAUACGUUGAGCUCUACAAGCUAAUUACACUCAUAUAAGACAAAUCCAUGCUAAUCUCCCACUAAUCCUCUCAUCCUCCCACUAAUCCUCUCAUCCCUCCCCCUAAUCCCCCCACCAUGGCUAUAAAUAGAGGGGCAAGGGCCUCCUCUCAUCCCACCCCAAGCAAUUUCAUGGCAACUCUCUUCCCCCCCGCACACACCCACUCCAUGUUCCACACAAGCACACACUAGCACAAGGAUCGUUCGGUCGUUCUUCGAUCGUUCGUCCCCCUGUUCUUAGUUUGUUCGUUCGUUCGUCCGAUCGUUUGAUCGUUUGUCCGAUUGUUCAUGGUUCGUUCGUCCGUUCGUCUGAUCGUUCGUCCAUUCGUUCGUCCAAAUAAUCUUUUUCCUGCCGUUAUGCUGCCGAAAUUCCGAUCGUUCGUUCGUCCGAUCGUUUGAUCGUUCGUCCGAUCGUUCAUGGUUCGUUCGUCCAUUCGUCCGAUCGUUCGAUCGUUCGUCCGUUCGUUCAUCCAAAUAAUCUUUUUCCUGCCGUUAUGCUGCUGAAAUUCCGAUCGUUCGUUCGUUCAAUCAUUCGAUCGUUCAUCGUUCGUUCAUAGUUCCUAUCCAUCGUUCAUCGUUCGUUCAUACGAACUAUUCACCAUCACUAUUUACUGUUACUAUUUACCGUUACUUUUACCGUUACUAUUUACCGUUACUAUUUACCAUUACUUUUUACCAUUACUUUUUACCGUUACUAUUCACCGUUACUUUUUACCGUUACUUUUUACCGUUACUAUUUACCGUUACUAUUUACCGUUACUAUUUACCGUUACUUUUUACCGUUACUUUUUACCGUUACUAUUUACCGUUACUAUUUACCGUUACUUUUUACCGUUACUAUUCACCGUUACUAUUCAUCGAUCAUCCGAUCACCCCAAAUUUCAACUACUCAUCCAUCAGGCUGUCCAGUCCACCUAAGACCAACCAGACCCAUAUCCCAGUUAUACAAACUCCGGUGACUGUGAUUUUCCUUCCAGUGGGAACUUCCCAUCUGGUCACCCAUCCUAGGUUUCUCCAAGUUGAGCACGCUUAACUUGAGAUUCCUUCGAACCAGGCUUUCAAACUCAGAUUCUAAUAAUUCUCGUUUCUAAAUUCUUAUCAAACUAUUCCCUAUCCAACCAUGUCAUCCCUUAAGCAUGGUUCAUAUUCCAGAAAACUCCCAAAAUACUCUCGUCCCAUAUUCUGCCUAUAACUCUCCUGUUCAUACUAAGUCAAACGAUUCAUUCGUCACUAUUCUCACCAACAGUGAACUUCACUGUGCUACACCACAUACACCCAGCUAUAAAUACACCCAGCUACCCUCUCCCUCUCCACACACACUCAACACCCUCAGCCAAGGAAAACACCCCACCCACUCAGUUACUCCGCUCUGCCGGCUACACGCAUAGUGUCGCUUCGCCUCCAGUCCACCCUCCUGUUAUCGGAGCGUUCGUGCUGUCUCGUGGAGGCCAGAUCUGCAAGUCUACGCCAGGCGGUGGAGCCAGAAGCCAGUUCUGCGAGCUCUCCUUCCCCCUUCGCCGGAUAAGCACGACAAGCUCACUGGAUCCCUUUGAUGCAUAAAUUACCUAUGAUUUUUCAACCACAACCCUCAGCCUGUUAUUUUAUGCAUGAUAUGAUUUUGAGACAAGUUAUUAUGGCCACCCAGCCGCUUGCCGCAAUCAAUCUCUGAUAUAUUUGUUACAAAUGAUUUAAGGAAAGUUGUGAGUUUUCAAAGAAAAUGCUUUUCAAAAUGUGUAUGAUGAAGGGUUUUCACCCUUUUCACCUUGUGAGUGGGAUAAUCAGGGACUCCCUGGUUUAGGGGAGGGCCUAAGGUGAUGGCUCAGCUGGUUUAGGCGUGAGCAGAAGGAUUGUCCCCUCGUAUAAGGACCGGUUUGUCAUCUUUCACUACCUGUACUCAUGAUAAGUACAACCACUCGAGACUGUGUGGGCAGUCACUCAAUCUGAACUCGUACGGUCCAACCCCAGGGUUAUGAAGGCUGGGGAGCACCGGGAGGAUAAGGAGGGGGAAAGUUUUGUCCGGUUUGGACAUGGUGGUGGCCUGACUCCUUCCGGUAUAACCGUUAAGGUUAGGACGUGCAAGGGAAGAAAGAGAUUCGGAUUCGGAUCUCAUUGAUCAUGAGAUCGCAGAGCCGGAGUAGUGGGUAAAGUGUACACCUCUGCGCAGAGUUUGAAAACCUAUUCGAAUAGUCCGUGUCCACAGGAAUGGACGAGUCUGGUAUGGUAUGGCAAUUAAUGUUUGGUUUUCAAAAAGGGUGCGUUUGAGAAAAGUGGUUUUUAAAAGGUUCGGCGGUUGAGCCGUGAGCUAUGGUGGACGGGAAGUCCAAUAGCUGUUUUUGAAAAUGAAAACCAGUGGGAAACUGUUGAGAUACCUGGAUGGUUUAGUCCAGGGGAUUUUGUUAUAAUACUGAAAAACUUCCUGCUCCUUUUGGAGAGGAUGCGCUUUGCAAAAAUACAAAAUGUUUUUCAAAACAACUCUGCAUAAAAUAUUGUUGUUUCUGCAAAAUAUCCUGAGCUCCACAUAUUCCAUGCAUUAUAUCUAAUUUCCCCAUUCCGUGGGUGAAGGUGGGCUGCUGAGUACGUUUGUACUCACCCUUGCUUAUUUGUUGUUUUUCAGAAAAAGGAGAUCGGGUAAGAGUUACGCCUGUUCCCAACCUUGCCUGUGGCUGUUGGACCGCUGAUUUGCUUCACUGCGUAUAUCGGGCUGCUUCAGCCCCACUCUGAUGAUAUGUCCCGAGUUGUGGACCAACUCUUAAAGUUGUUCGUCACCUUUAUAGGUUUGUCGUUAAAGCAGAUCUGUAAUCAUCUGAUGUAUAAAUGUGUUUACUAGCCUCCUGGGACUAGUAAUUGUAUCACAUUUGAGUCCUAGAGGAUUGGGGACUCUUCAGGUGGUAUCAGAGCUAUUAGGUUGGCCACAGGACGUAACCCUUAGCCUGAUCCAAAAGUUUUUGAGUCAAAACUAUUUUUUUUAAAAAAAAAUUCUUGCUCUCAUCCCUUCAUUUGAAAAAUGCUUUCCCCCUUUCCUUCUCUCAGAAGUCAGAUGGAGGUUCGCUGCCAAACCAGCUUUUGCCAAAAUGAAGAUGGUUUCCCCAAGUUGCUGAGAGCAUGUACAGUCCGCCUUGGAAUCAGGAGCCAGCCAGAGUAUGAUGGUCGUGAAUUCGUCGAGCAUGGCACAGAGAAGUGUGUCGUGACUGUAUACAUUGGAUCCAGUCCGCACCAUGUGGAAUGGAGUGUCACUGCUGAUGGUCACAGAUUCAAAGACACCCGUCAAGUCGUCGCUCGCAAGGCAUUGAGGGCCCUGUGUCAGAUCUAUGAAGAAGAAGUGGCCGACACACCGCUCAGAUUCUUUCCGCCCUUUCAGAGAGACCGUCCAGUUUGGAUGGCCAGGAUGCGUGCAUUGGAAGGUCAGCAGCUGCUUGAGGACGACCCCACAAUCGUGUACCUCACUGCAUACCUGCUCACCCUGGAUGCACAAUAUGAUUUCUUGGCUCGGCACCACCGUCAGAUGAUUGCUCGAGCAGAAGAUGCAGAGAAGCUCAACCGUAAGCUCCAUGUGGACCUCACCACAGCUCAAGCCCGUGUAGCUGCCUUGGAAAGUCGUGAAGUCAUUGCUGUUGAAGCCCUGAAGCAAGCCAAGGAUGAGCACGUCCAGAAGUUGAUGGAGGCCUACUUGGUAACCCAUAACCAACGUAGAGCCCCGCGGAUCCAAGAGCCCGCUCCAUCCAACCCAGUCCAACCCAUGAGAGUUGAAGACCCCCCCGAUUCUUGAAGGUCACCCGGUCUCUACCAGAGGAGAAAAGAAGGCUUGGGAACUCCCAGAAGGAGCCAUAGUCUUGGAAGGAAUUCCAGUCUUCCCUCAGGCUAUGAAUAAGCAAGAGCACUCUGAGUCCUCCCAAGAUCCACUGCCAGAGUUGUUUGAGCCCCUCACCUUGAAGAAGAUUCCAGCACCGUCCCGUGAGAUCAAAGAAGAAGCUGCAAGCACCCCACCAGCACCGCCGCCCUCUGAGGAGCUACAAGAGCCAGUCGCGCUUGAAGAAGAGUUCAACCCCGUGUUGCCAUCUCAGUUGCCGCCAGAAGAAGUCAUCAACAUCAACUCCCUCUUGACCCAUCCAAGAGAUAUCUCAGAUUGAAGUUGUGAGCCAGCCUUGCCACAAGAGAAGCUGCCAGAUCUGAGUUAGUUAUGCCCAGUCCUCUGCAUGCAUUGGGUAGUGAAGUUUUUCUUCACUUUGGCUAGAGCCCUACGUGUAUGAGAGGUAAUCGUGUAGACUCGUUUUUGCAAAACUCUAAUUGUGUGGCCCCCUAGGGCAUUUCAAAAUGAAUUUCGCUUGAUGUUUUCUUCCCUUUUGAGUGCAUAUGUGAUGCUUUAACGUUAGUGCUCAUAAGUCGCAUUUCAGCAUAGUUUUCAGUUCAGGAGCUGAGCAAUAGUAGUUAUGCUUAGCCCCCGAAUCCAAGUAGUUCGUGAUUUGGAAAAACUCUAUUCUUCCCUUAUUCAAAACAUUUGAUUUGUUUGUGCUUAUCAUUGCUGAACUUAUGUGUUUUUUUCUUUUUAAAAAAGGUUUUCUCUAAAAACAUAAAUCACAAAUUAGAUCUAAUCCUCACCUUAUGCUUCCAUUCUCAUCUUAACCCAUCUCAAGAGAAAAGCACCUUACCCAAGAAGAUACCGGAAGCUUACCCUUGAAGCCUGGAACAAGCUACAGAAGAAACCAGUCCAGCCGCUCAGUCAAAAGGACCGACCGUGAGAAUCAAAGCACUGCCCCUGAGUCAAAGUAAACAGGAAAAGAGGACAGAAGGAGUUAUUACCAUGCAGAGAGGCAAAUAUUCUUGGAACCAGAGACCACAAACAUCAGGGUCAUUGACCCCACCACUCACCCGUGCUCCCCGCACGCGUGCCCCGCCUCCAUGCGCACUACCACCGCCCCAUGCCCUUUUUGCAGCGCACCCACCGCCGCCAUUACCACCAGCAACGCCAUCCCCCCUCCAUCGAACUUGUUACCUUGUGUCACCUGCUCCAUCACCAUUACUCCGCAACCGGACACCCCCGCUCGCCUAUAAAACCCCCCACCAGCUCCCUCAACUCCCAUCUCGCUCAAAGCAAAGCACACUCCAGAUAAAUCCCCUCUGUCAUAAUCGAAGCAACCCCAUUUCCCACUCCCUCGCCCCUAAGCUCACAAUGCUUGGUGAUUCUUGGGUUGAAGACUGUUGUACAUGGUUCAACAUCUUCGGUUUCCUCCAAUGUAUGAUGGUAAUACUCUUUGAUAGAAUCCUCCAGUGGGAAGAGCAAAGAGAAAGAAAGGGUCAGUGAAAAGAAGAUAGUGAAGAGAAGAUGAGAAGAAGGUUCUCCCAAAAUCAACCCUGUGUCAGUCAUUUCUCCGCAGCCUGCUCAAGCAGCAACAACAGAAGAAGGUUACGUAACACCCUUGUUAUGAGGUACUUCAAGGAGUUCAAAUCCCCAAGAUUCAAGAGUUCUACCCUCAUUCUUUUUAAGUGGGGUAGUAUUCCAAUAAGGUUCCUGCUAUGGAGAAAAAGAAGGCCUGUAGCAAGCUUGUCGAGGACCAGAUCAUUGAAGCAUAUAAGUUUCUGGAUGAGAAGUGGUCACCCAAGUUCCGUUGAUGAAGCACCAGAAGACCAAUCAAGGAAGGAAUCCAUGUGGGAGUUCGCAAGAGAAAGGUUUGCGUGUUGGCAUCAAUGCUUCCUCAAUAAGCUAGCUGCCAAGCGAAACCUAGAAGCCUGAAGAUGAUCUUUGAGUAGCCAGAAUCAGUGUUUGCAAUCGGCAACCAGAUGCUCCUCAAAGGCCAGAUUUUGUUGAAGCUCUAUCUUCUCGAAGAGUUGCAAAGUGAAGAUAUGUAGCUGAAGUAAAGCUAUACCCAUAACCCUUCUAAGCCGAAUCUCGAGGACGAGAUUCCUUUUAAGUGGGGUAGAUUUGUAGCAUCCCAAAAAUUCAAAUCCUGAAAUUUUCUCAAACUUGCUCUAAAUUCAAAAUGAAUUUCAAAUUUCAUUUCAAAAUGUUUGUUUGCAAGUUGAUAUCAACAAGUAAAAUAUAGUGGUCUAUAUUCUCUCUAAAAUCCUCCUCAAAAUAUCCUACAAAUAUUUCCCCUAUGAUCACCCUCAAACUAUUUCAGAAAUACUGCCCAAAUAUUCCACCGAUAUACCUCCAAGUAUUUUCUUCCUAAGAAAUACCUUUAGAAUCAUUUUUCAAGCCCCCACAAAUAUUUUCUUCAUAACUUUCCUCAUGCUCAUACGUAUAUGUAUGCCUCCGGUGUCAUACGUUGAGCUCUACAAGCUAAUUACACUCAUAUAAGACAAAUCCAUGCUAAUCUCCCACUAAUCCUCUCAUCCUCCCACUAAUCCUCUCAUCCCUCCCCCUAAUCCCCCCACCAUGGCUAUAAAUAGAGGGGCAAGGGCCUCCUCUCAUCCCACCCCAAGCCAUUUCAUGGCAACUCUCUCCCCCCCCCGCACACACCCACUCCAUGUUCCACACAAGCACACACUAGCACAAGGAUCAUUCGGUCGUUCUUCGAUCGUUCGUCCCCCUGUUCUUAGUUUGUUCGUUCGUUCGUCCGAUCGUUCAUGGUUCGUUCGUCCGUUCGUCCGAUCAUUUGAUCGUUCGUCCGUUCGUUCGUCCAAAUAAUCUUUUUCCUGCCGUUAUGCUGCCGAAAUUCCGUUCGUUCGUUCGUCCGAUCGUUUGAUCGUUCGUCCGAUCGUUCAUGGUCCGUUCGUCCGUUCGUCCGAUCGUUCGAUCGUUCGUCCGUUCGUUCGUCCAAAUAAUCUUUUUUCUGCCGUUAUGCUGCCGAAAUUCCGAUCGUUCGUUCGUUCGAUCAUUCGAUCGUUCAUCGUUCGUUCAUAGUUCCUAUCCAUCGUUCAUCGUUCGUUCAUACGACUAUUCACCAUCACUAUUUACUGUUACUAUUUACCGCUACUUUUACCGUUACUAUUUAUCGUUACUAUUACCGUUAUUUUUUACCGUUACUAUUCACCGUUACUUUUUACCGUUACUAUUUACCGUUACUUUUUACCGUUACUAUUUACCGUUACUUUUUACCGUUACUUUUUACCGUUACUAUUUACCGUUACUAUUCACCGUUACUAUUCAUCGAUCAUCCGAUCACCCCAAAUUUCAACUACUCAUCCAUCAGGCUGUCCAGUCCACCUAAGACCAGCCAGACCCAUAUCCCAGUUAUACAAACUCCGGUGACUGUGAUUUUCCUUCCAUUGGGAACUUCCCAUCUGGUCACCCAUCCUAGGUUUCUCCAAGUUGAGCACGCUUAACUUGAGAUUCCUUCGAACCAGGCUUCCAAACUCAGAUUCCAAUAAUUCUCGUUUCUAAAUUCUUAUCAAACUAUUCCCUAUCCAACCAUGUCAUCCCUUAAGCAUGGUUCAUAUUCCAGAAAACUCCCAAAAUACUCUCGUCCCAUAUUCUGCCUAUAACUCUUCUGUUCAUACUAAGUCAGACGAUUCAUUCGUCACUAUUCUCACCAACAGUGAACUUCACUGUGCUACACCACAUACACCCAGCUAUAAAUACACCCAACUACCCUCUCCCUCUCCACACACACUCAACACCCUCAGCCAAGGAAAACACCCCACCCACUCAGUUACUCCGCUCUGCCGGCUACACGCAUAGUGUCGCUUCGCCUCCAGUCCACCCUCCUGUUAUCGGAGAGUUCGUGCUGUCUCGUGGAGGCCAGAUCUGCAAGUCUACGCCAGGCGGUGGAGCCAGAAGCCAGUUCCGCGAGCUCUCCUUCCCCCUUCGCCGGAUAAGCACGACAAGCUCACUGGAUCCCUUUGAUGCAUAAAUUACCUAUGAUUUUUAACCACAACCCUUAGCCUGUUAUUUUAUGCAUGAUAUGAUUUUGAGACAAGUUAUUAUGGCCACCCAGCCGCUUGCCGCAAUCAAUCUCUGAUAUAUUUGUUACAAAUGAUUUGAGGAAAGGUGUGAGUUUUCAAAGAAAAUGCUUUUCAAAAUGUGUAUGAUGAAGGGUUUUCACCCUUAUCACCUUGUGAGUGGGAUAAUCAGGGACUCCCUGGUUUAGGGGAGGGCCUAAGGUGAUGGCUCAGCUGGUUUAGGCGUGAGCAGAAGGAUUGUCCCCUCGUAUAAGGACCGGUUUGUCAUCUUUCACUACCUGUACUUAUGAUAAGUACAACCACUCGAGACUGUGUGGGCAGUCACUCAAUCUGAACUCGUACGGUCCAACCCCAGGGUUAUGAAGGCUGGGGAGCACCGGGAGGAUAAGGAGGGGGAAAGUUUUGUCCGGUUUGGACAUGGUGGUGGCCUGACUCCUUCCGGUAUAACCGUUAAGGUUAGGACGUGCAAGGGAAGAAAGAGAUUCGGAUUCGGAUCUCAUUGAUCAUGAGAUCGCAGAGCCGGACUAGUGGGUAAAGUGUACACCUCUACGCAGAGUUUGAAAACCUAUUCGAAUAGUCCGUGUCCACAGGAAUGGACGAGUCUGGUAUGGUAUGGCAAUUAAUGUUUGGUUUUCAAAAAGGGUGCGUUUGAGAAAAGUGGUUUUUAAAAGGUUCGGCGGUUGAGCCGUGAGCUAUGGUGGACGGGAAGUCCAAUAGCUGUUUUUGAAAAUGAAAACCAGUGGGAAACUGCUGAGAUACCUGGAUGGUUUAGUCCAGGGGAUUUUGUUAUAAUACUAAAAAACUUCCUGCUCCUUUUGGAGAGGAUGCGCUUUGCAAAAAUACAAAAUGUUUUUCAAAACAACUCUGCAUAAAAUAUUGUUGUUUCUGCAAAAUAUCCUGAGCUCCACAUAUUCCAUGCAUUAUAUCUGAUUUCCCCAUUCUGUGGGUGAAGGUGGGCUGCUGAGUACGUUUGUACUCACCCUUGCUUAUUUGUUGUUUUUCAGAAAAAGGAGAUCGGGUAAGAGUUAUGCCUGUUCCCAACCUUGCCUGUGGCUGUUGGACCGCUGAUUUGCUUCACUGCAUAUAUCGGGCUGCUUCAGCCCCACUCUGAUGAUAUGUCCCGAGUUGUGGACCAACUCUUAAAGUUGUUCGCCACCUUUAUAGGUUUGUCGUUUAAUCAGAUCUGUAAUCAUCUGAUGUAUAAAUGUGUUUACUAGCCUCCUGGCACUAGUAAUUGUAUCACAUUUGAGUCCCAGAGGAUUGGGGACGCUUCACCCAUCAUCCACACAAGAACAUCAUGACGACCGACAUGUCGCUUGAACUACUCCACAUGGACCUAUUCGGCCCGAUCGCUUACAUAAGCAUCAACGGGAGUAAGUAUUGUCUAGUUAUUGUGGAUGGUUAUUCACGCUUCACUUGGGUAUUCUUUUUGCAGGAAAAAUCACAAACCCAAGAGACAUUGAAGGGAUUCUUGAGACGGGCUCAAAAUGAGUUCGGCUUAAGGAUCAAAAAGAUUAGAAGCGACAACGGGACGAAGUUCAAGAACUCACAAAUAGAAGGCUUCCUUGAGGAGGAGGGCAUCAAGCAUGAGUUCUCUUCUCCCUACACACCACAACAAAAUGGUGUAGUGGAGAGGAAGAAUAGAACUCUAUUGGACAUGGCAAGAACCAUGCUUGAUGAGUACAAGACUUCGGAUCGGUUUUGGGCUGAGGCGGUCAACACCGCUUGCUACACCAUAAACCGGUUAUAUCUUCACUGAAUCCUCAAGAAGACAUCAUAUGAACUCCUCACUGGUAAAAAGCCCAAUGUUUCAUAUUUUAGAGUCUUUGCUAGCAAAUGCUUUAUUCUUGUUAAAAGAGGUAGAAAAUCUAAAUUUGCUCCUAAGGCUGUAGAAGGCUUUUUACUUGGUUAUGAUUCAAACACAAGGGCAUAUAGAGUCUUUAACAAGUCCUCUGGACUAGUUGAAGUUUCUUGUGACAUUGUGUUUGAUGAGACUAACGGAUCUCAAGUAGAGCAAGUUGAUCUUGAUGAACUAGAUGAUGAAGAGGCUCCGUGCAUCGCGCUAAGGAACAUGUCCAUUGGGGAUGUGUGUCCUAAGGAAUCCGAAGAGCCUCCACAUGCACAAGAUCAACCAUCUUCCUCAAUGCAAGCAUCUCCACCAACUCAAUAUGAGGAUCAAGCUCAAGAGGAUGAAAAUGAAGAUCAAGAAGAUGAGCCACCUCAAGAGGAGGACAAUGACCAAGGGGGAGAUGCUAAUGAUCAAGACAAGGAAGAUGAUGAGGGUCCAAGACCGCCACACCCAAGAGUCCAUCAAGCAAUCCAACGAGAUCACCCCGUGAACACCAUCCUCGGCGAUAUUCAUAAGGGGGUAACCACUCGAUCUCGUGUUGCUCAUUUUUGUGAACAUUACUCUUUUGUUUCCUCUAUUGAGCCACAUAGGGUAGAGGAAGCACUCCAAGAUUCAGAUUGGGUGCUGGCGAUGCAAGAGGAGCUCAACAACAUCACGAGGAAUGAGGUAUGACAUUUAGUUCCACGUCCUAACCAAAAUGUUGUAGGAACCAAGUGGGUCUUCCGCAACAAACAGGAUGAGCAUGGUGUGGUGACAAGGAACAAAGCCUGACUUGUGGCCAAGGGAUAUUCACAAGUUGAAGGUUUGGAUUUCGGUGAAACCUAUGCACCCGUAGCUAGGCUUGAGUCAAUUCAUAUAUUACUUGCCUAUGCUACCUACCAUGGCUUCAAGCUUUAUCAAAUGGACGUGAAAAGUGCCUUCCUCAAUGGACCAAUCAAGGAGGAGGUCUAUGUUGAGCAACCUCCCGGCUUUGAAGAUAGUGAGUACCCUAACCAUGUUUAUAAACUCUCUAAGGCGCUUUAUGGGCUCAAGCAAGCCCCAAGAGCAUGGUAUGAAUGCCUAAGAGAUUUUCUUAUCGCUAAUGGCUUCAAAGUCAGAAAAGCCGAUCCUACUAUCUUUACUAAAACACUUGCAAAUGAUUUGUUUGUAUGCCAAAUUUAUGUUGAUGAUAUCAUAUUUGGGUCUACUAACGAAUCUACAUGUGAAGAGUUUAGUAGGAUCAUGACUCAAAAAUUCGAGAUGUCUAUGAUGGGGGAGUUGAAGUAUUUCUUAGGAUUUCAAGUGAAGCAACUCCAAGAGGGCACCUUCAUUAGCCAAACGAAGUACAUUCAAGACAUACUCACCAAGUUUGGGAUGAAGGAUGCCAAGCCCAUCAAGACACCCAUGGGAACAAAUGGGCAUCUCGACCUCGACACGGGAGGUAAAUCCGUAGAUCAAAAGGUAUACCGGUUGAUGAUAGGUUCUUUACUCUACUUAUGUGCAUCUCGACCGGAUAUUAUGCUUUUUGUAUGCAUGUGUGCAAGAUUCCAAGCCGAUCCUAAGGAAGUUCACCUUAGGGCCGUGAAACGAAUCUUGAGAUAUUUAGUUUAUACUCCUAAGUUUGGCCUUUGGUACCCCAGGGGAUCCACUUUUGAUUUAAUUGGUUAUUCAGAUGCUGAUUGGGCAGGGUGUAAAAUUGAUAGAAAGAGCACAUCAGGGACUUGCCAGUUCUUAGGAAGAUCUCUGGUGUCUUGGGCUUCAAAGAAGCAAAAUUCUAUCGCUCUUUCUACCGCCAAAGCCGAGUACAUUGCCGCAGGCCAUUGUUGCGCGCAAUUGUUUUGGAUGAGGCAAACCCUUAGGGACUAUGGUUACAAAUUAACCAAAGUUCCUCUCCUAUGUGAUAAUGAGAGUGCAAUCCGCAUGGCGGAUAAUCCCGUUGAGCAUAGCCGCACUAAACACAUAGCCAUUCGGUAUCACUUUUUGAGGGAUCACCAACAAAAGGGGGAUAUCGAGAUUGCAUAUAUCAAUACCAAAGAACAAUUAGCCGAUAUCUUUACCAAGCCACUAGAUGAGAAAACAUUUACCAAACUUAGGCAUGAGCUAAAUAUUCUUGAUUCUAGGAAUUUUGAUUGAUGUUUUGCACACAUAGCUCAUGUAUAUACCUUUGAUCAUCUCUUUCAUGUGCUAUGACUAAUGUGGUUUUCAAGUGCAUUUCAUGCUAAGUCAUAGAUUGAAAGGGAAUUGGAGUCUUCGGCGAAGACAAAGGCUUCCACUCCACUCCAUCGAAUUAUUCAUCCUUCGCCGUCGCUCCGCAACGCUCUCCAAAUUGGUAUAAUCUUCACUCACAUAUUAUUUACCAAAGGGAGAGAAAGAAAAGGGCUUAUAUUUCACUCACAAGUAUCCGUUUUUGGCGAUUCAUGCCAAAGGGGGAGAAAGUAUUAGCCCAAAGCAAAAGGGCCGCACCACCACCAAUUUCAAAAAUGUAGUUUUCAAAUUUGGUUAAGAAAAGAUUUUUCAAUUGGUAUCUUAUUUUUGAUAUAGUUUCAAAUUGGUAUAACCCCUCUUCAAAAUUAAUAUCUAAAACCCUCUUGAACACUAAGAGGAGGAUUUCAUUAAGGGGGAGUUUUGUUUAGUCAAAGGAAAAGCAUUUGAAACAGGGGGAGAAAAUUUCAAAUCUUGAAAAUGCUUCUCAAAAUCUUAUUCAUAUACCUUUGACUAUUUUCAAAAGAUUUUUGAAAAAGAAUUUCCAAAACAUUGCAAAACAAAACAAGUGGUGCAAAAUUUUAAAUUAGAAGAAAGCCAUCCAUGCAUAUCUAGUAUAAAUAAUUAUUGGUUUCAUUCCUAGCAACCUUUGCACUUACAUUAUGCAAACUAGUUAAAUUCUGCACUUAUAUAUUUGCUUUGGUUUGUGUUGGCAUCAAUCACCAAAAAGGGGGAGAUUGAAAGGGAAAUAGGCUUACACCUUUUCCUAAUUGAUUUGGGUGGUUGAAUUGCCCAACACAAAUAAUUGGACUAACUAGUUUGCUCUAGAUUAUAAGUUUUACAAGUGCCAAAGGUUCACAACAAACCAAUAAAAAGACCAAGAAAGGGUUCAAACAAAGAGAGCAAAAGACUACCGAAGUGUGCCCUGGUCUAGCGCACCGGACUGUCCGGUGUGCCACCGGACAGUGUUCGGUGCACCAGGGAAUUCCAGUAUGAACUUGCCACCUUCGGGAAUUCUGGGAGGCGCUCCGCUAUAAUUCACCGGACUAUCCGGUGUAGCACCGGACUAUCCGGUGCGCCAGCGGAGUAACGGCUACACAUCGCCAACGGUCGUCUGCAACGAGUAGUUAAUGUGCUACAGUGCGCGCAGAAGUCAGAGCAGAGCCAGAAGGCACACCAGAUAAUGAACAAUGACUGUCCGGUGCACCACCGGACUGUCCAGUGGCCCAGCUGUCAGAAGCUCCAACGGUCAGAACCCAACGGCCGGGUGACGUGGCUGGCGCACCGGACAGUGUCCGGUGGCGCACAGGACUGUCCGGUGCGCCAUGCGACAGCAGCCUCCACCAACGGCUCCUUUGGUGGUUGGGGCUAUAAAUACCCCCAACCACCCACCAUUCAUUGCAUCAGGUUGUCAACCUUCACACUUCAUACAAGAGCUAUAACAUUCAAUACAAGACACAAACAAGAGAUCAAAUCCUCUUCCAAGUCCAAAGACAAUUCUAAUCAAAUAGUGACUAGUGAGAGAGAGAUACUUGUGUUCAUUUGAGCUCUUGCGCUUGGAUUGCUUUUUUCUUCCUUCAUUCUUGUGUUCAAUUCACUUGUAAUCAAAACAAGAGACAUCAAGUUGUGGUGGUCCUUGUAGUGGACUUAGUGUCCCAUUUGAUUGAAGAGAAAGGCUCACUCGGUCUAGGUGACCGUUUGAGAGAGGGAAAGGGUUUAAAGAGACCCGGUCUUUAUGACCACCUCAAUGGGGAGUAGGUUUGCAAGAACCGAACCUCAGUAAAACAAAUCACCGUGUCAUCCGCUCUUAUUCGCUUGUGAUUUGUUUUCACCCUCUCUUUUGGACUCACAUUUAAUUCUAACGCUAACUCGGCUUGUAGUGUGUGCUUAAGUUUAUAAAUUUCAGAUUUGCCUAUUCACCCCCCCUCUAGGCGACUUUCAGUUUGCUUAUCAUAUGUUUUGAUGCUUGUCGUGAUGAACUUGUAAUGAAGUUGGAUCUUUGUAAUGAUUGUCAUCAAGGUGUGGGCAUCCCCUGCAACAUGAUGUAGUUAUUAAUAAAGUCAGUUAUUUAGUUGGGUAAUCCCUUUAUUUCCACUUUCCUCUUUAUCUAAGAAGUAGUGUUGGCUGUGUUGAGGGUCAGUGAAGAUGAUCAAUUGUUCAAUGAUAUAAAGAUUUCCAUAUAUCUUUUCUUAUGAUGAAAGACUAUAGAGUCAGAUCUGAUGUGUGUGUGCUUUCUAUAGAUGUCUAAGAACUGGUGCAGAGGUGGAAGGCGUGCUCAGGAGCAGCAGGCACCCCAGGAGGAGGCAGCUUGGCAGUAGUUGCCACCCCCACCACCGAUGACUAUUGAUCAGAUGUUCCUGAUGCAAACUCAAGUAGUCCAAGCGAUUGGUCAGACUUUAGCAGCAAUGCAGCAGGUGCAGCAGUAGCAACCCCCACCUCAACCCCAAGUGCAAGUUUAGAUGCCACAGGUGCCCUGAGACAAGCGGGCAGAAUUCAUGAGGGGCAUCCCCUGUCUUUGCCCAUUCUGCUGAUCCCAUGGAGGUCGAAGAUUGGUUGUGUACUGUGGAGCGUGAGUUGCACACUGCUCAGUGCAACGAUCGCGAGAAGGUUCUGUAUGGUCCCCGUCUACUAAGGGGAGCAACACAGUCUUGGUGGGAGUCUUACCUUGCCACCCAUGCCGACCCUGAAGCCAUCACCUGGGAGGAGUUCAGGGACAACUUCCAUCGUUACCAUGUGCCUGAAGGACUGAUGAUAGUAAAGGAAGGAGGAAUUUCUAGCUUUGAAGCAAGGUCCCCUAUCUGUCAGUGAGUACAGGGACAAGUUUCUGCAGCUGUCACGUUAUGCGCUAGAAGAUGUUAAUACAGAUGCUAAGAGGCAUUACCGCUUUCUAAGAGGUUUGGUUGACCCCCUUCACUACUAGCUAAUAAACCACACUUUCCCUAUCUUCCAGCAUUUGAUCGAUAGAGCAAUAAUGACUGAAAGGAAGCAUCGGGAGAUGGAGGACAGGAAACACAAGAUUGGUGGAUCUUAGGUCAGGAGUAGCAGUCAUCCCCGCUACUCAGGCAACCCACCUCAGUAGUUCAAGCAAGAUCGCCCUCAAGGUCACCAGCCCCAGCGUCAGCACCAGCAGCAAUACUAGAGGCAGUUUCCUCAGCAGCAACAGUACCAUCAGAACAACCAGUAGGGAGGAAAUCAAUACCAGCGUAAGAACAACCAGACACCUCGCCUUCCUGCCGCAACAACCAACCAAAACAACCCAACAGCUCCAGUGCAAGGAGGAGGUCGUGCAUGUUUCCACUGUGGGGAACAAGGCCACUAGGCGGAUCAUUGCCCAAAGAAGGCAACUCAGCAGUUGCCAGCUUUCAACACCUCAGCAUGACAAGGAGCACCACAGCAAGCACCAGAAGGCUGUGGUUAGGCCUGCAACCGUGGAAAGGUGAACCACUUGGAGUCCAAAGCAAUCCAGGAUGUUUAGGACGUGGCAGUAGGUAUGUUUCCAGUCGAAUCUCAUCCAACAAAAGUAUUAUUUGAUACUGGUGUCACACAUUCUUUUGUUUCUACAGCAUAGGUAGAAGCACAUAACAUCCUCGUAGAACUAAUGCUUCCACCUUUAAGAGUUAAUUCAGUUGGGGGAAAAGUAAAGUCUGAUAAGAUGUGUCCGAAUAUAAGGAUUGACAUAAGGGGGAUAGACUUCACCGCUAACCUAGUGGUAAUGGGUACUCAAGGGUUAGAUAUUGUUGGGGGUCUUCUUCUCCGCCGAAGGUCCUCAAGACACAAACACCUUCGGCAAAAUGAUACAGAGGUUCAUCCUCCUUCUGCCGAAGGUUCUCAAGACGAAGACCUCGUGAAGAAGCAACAAUGCGGAACGCCGAAGCUACCGUCAGCUUCGGCUCAGAUCAAGCAAAGAAGGAAAAGACUAGAUAAACCUUAUUAGUUAAGUUGUUUAUAAACAAAUGUUCAGGGGCAUGAAUGUAAUUUUACCUAGGCUACAUCCCGUGCCUAUAAAUAGAUGAACAAUAACACCAUACUGUUCACGCUGAAUUGUAAUCACUCUCUCGCGUCUUCGCCUUUGAGCAAGCCGAAGCAUUUGAGAACAAGUGACCAACAUUGGCGCCCACCUCUGGUGAACUCACUUUCACGACUGCGACAAUGGCUUCGCAACGCAACCAAGCUGUGACACCUUCGGCUACGAAGCUGGUGCUCCCAAUCAUCGGCGGUUCAAGUUCUGAACCAGCCAAUAAGAAGCAGAAGAAAGAAGCACAAAGAAGGGUACACCAUGUUGGAGUGAAAGGACCCUUCAUCAAGUCCAAGUGGUCUCAUAUACCAAUCACCUUCUCCCAGGAAGACCUUCACCUCAAGGAUUAUCCUCACAAUGAUGCAAUGGUUAUAUCUUGUGUCAUCAAGGGGUUCCUGGUUCACAAUGUCCUUGUAGACACAGGCAGUGCUGCAGACAACAUCUUUGCGAAAGCUUUCAAGAAAAUGCAAGAGCAUGAUGACAAGAUACAUGACGUGACACACACCCUCUGUGGUUUCGGAGGAAGGCAGAUAGUGGCACUCGACAAGAUAGCUAUGCCGAUCACCUUCGGCUAUGUUCACAACACAAGGACAGAGCAAGUUGUCUUUGACAUUGUUGACAUGGAGUAUCCCUACAAUGCAAUCAUUGGGCGAGGAACAUUAAACGCCUUUGAAGCAAUACUUCAUCUAGCAUAUCUGUGCAUGAAGAUACCAUCAGACCAAGGCCCCAUAGCUGUGCAUGGAAGUCAAGAGGCUGCUAGAAGGGUCGAAGGGAACUGGACAAAUUCAAAGGCUAUCCAUAACAUAGAUGAAGCCAAAGCUCAUUAGCAGUACAAGCACAAAAGAGAUAAGGCUUCCUCCGCAGACCAGCCGAAGCCCAUGCUUCUAUGCGAGGACAUAACCGAGCAGAAGGUGUUGCUGGGAUCACAGCUGUCUGAUGAACAAAAAAAACAUGUUGAAGUUUUUGUUCAACAACAAGGAUGUCUUUGCCUGGUCAGCCAAUGAUCUCUGUGGUGUCAAGAGAGACAUCAUCGAGCAUUCAUUUAAUGUAGAUCCGACUAUCAGGACAAAAAGGCAGAAGCUUCGGAAGAUGUACGAUGACAAAGCCGAAGGUGCACAAAACAAAGUCAAAAGGCUUCUAAGUGCCGGAGUAAUCAAAGAGGUAACAUAUCCAGAGUGGCUGGCCAAUACUAUAAUGGUGAAAAAGGCUAAUGGAAAGUGGAGAAUGUGAAUUGAUUUCACAGAUCUUAAUAAAGCGUGUCCAAAGGAUGAGUUUCCUCUACCUAGAAUAGACUCUUUGGUGGAUGUGGCAGCUACUUCAGAGCUAAUGAGCCUAUUGGACUGUUAUUUAGGCUACCACCAAAAUUAGAUGAAAAAGAGGAUGAAACCAAGACAAGCUUCAUAACCCCAGUGGGACAUACUGCUACCUUCGGAUGCCUGAGGGGCUCAAGAAUCCUGAAGGAAGCUUCAACAGGAUGACAACCAAAGUUCUCCACUCCCCAAUUGGCAAGAAUGUGCUGACAUACGUUGAUGAUAUCAUAGUCAAAAGCACGAAGCAAGAAAAUCACAUUGCUGAUUUGCAAGAAACAUUUGCUAAUUUCAGAAGGGCUGGUCUCAAGUUGAAUCCAGAAAAAUGUGUCUUCGGAGUGAAGAAUGGAAAAUUUCUUGGUUGUCUGGUAUCAACAAAGGGCAUCGAAGCCAACCCAAGCAAGAUAAAAGCCAUACUUUAGAUGGAGCCACCAAAGUCAUGAAAAGGUGCCCAGAGGUUGACAAGAAGGCUGACAUCGUUGAAUAGAUUUAUUUCAAGAUCAACAGAGAGGAACUUGCCAUUCUUCGAAGUGCUGAAGUCAGUCGAAGUUUUCCAAUGGGGACCAACUCAGCAAAAAGCCUUCGAAGAACUGAAACAAUAUUUGAUAGAAUUAACAACCUUAACUCUACCUUCGUCAGGAACUCCAUUGUUGCUGUAUGUAGCUACUUCCUAUGCUGCAGUUAGUGUAGCGUUGGUGCAAGAAAAGCACGAUGGCCAGGCAAAGAAGCAAGUGUCUGUGUACUUCGUCUCCAAAGUACUUAGCCCAUCAAAGAAAAAUUACACAGAGUUGGAGAAGGUACUAUAUGAUGUACUUCGUCUCCAUAACCAUGACAUCAGACAAGAAAAAGGAGCGCGUGCAGGAGAAUCAAGUACCAGAAGCAACUGUUGAUGCAGCAGUCAGCAGUGCAGCAGACAGACCUGAGGCAGCUCGACGGCGUUGGGCUUGGUGAGUCCGAGAGCGGGUUCGGCGGCCGUGGCCGCAGCGGCGGCGGUGUGCCCCAUCUGGGUGCGGUGACCGAGCGGGUGGUGAUCUGGCUUAAAGAGAUACAGAUGAUGCUUAAAGAAGGGAAGGAAAUGAAACUCGGAGGGCCCUCCCGCUGUCCAACGAGAGUCGAGGUGGUGAUGUCGAUAGAGGAGAGCGCGGUGGGCGGGCUGGCGGCGGCGCGGUGGGUGGGCUAGCGGUGGCGCACUAAUCUGGCGGCGUCGGCGCGCUGAACAGGCGGCGUGCUUAUCGGGCUGGCGGUGGGUGGGCUGAGAGCUGGUGAGAGAGAGACCCACGGCCGGGAUAGGGAUUUGGUAUUUUGGGUUAAGUUCGACGGUGUCGAGUUGGCCCACGAACUUAAUCUAAGAACGUGGGUACCCAUGUUCCUAACAGGUUAAGUUCGACGGUUUUGGCUAGGGCCCACGAACUUAAUUUAAGAAUGUGGGUACUCACGUUCUUAAAAAACCCCAUGAACUUAACUAAUAUAAGAACGUUGGUACCCACGUUCUUAACAAAACCCACGAACAUUUAUCAGUUUCUUGUAGUGUAUGGUUUCUAAAAAACUUCGGCAUUACUUCCAGACGUACCGUAUCAUAGUACCUUCUUCACAACCUCUCAAGGAUAUAAUGAGAAAUAGAGAAGCCAUAAGAAGAGUUGGAAAAUGGGCUGCAGAGUUGAAUGAAUUCACUAUUGAUUACGUUCAUAGAUCUUUGAUCCAAUCCCAAGCGUUAGCAGACUUCAUUGCUGAUUGGACGCCAAGGGCUCAGAACGAAGAGAGAACAAACGAUGCUGAAGCUUAGACAAUAUUUUGUGAUGGGUCAUGGGGAACCUUCGGCGCAGGAGCACCUGCUGUUUUAAUUUCACCGUCUAAAAUCAAAACCUGCUAUGCAGCAAGGUUGGACUUCAACUGCACAAAUAACAUUGUAGAGUACGAGACCCUUCUCUUGGGGCUUCAAAAAUUUAAGGCAAUGGGAAUAAGAAGGGCAAUACUCAAAUCUGACUCACAAGUCAUUUCGGGUCACGUUGACAAAAGUAGUAAAGCAAGGGACCCGAAGCUCAAGAAGUAUCUGGACACAGUCCGAAGGAUGGAAGCCUCUUUCGAAGGUUUCUCUGUAAAAACCAUCCUAAGAGGGGAAAAUGAACAUGCAAGCUUAUUAGCUAAGUCAACGGCACAUGGGCUUCCGUUACCUUUGGAGGUAUUUUUCGAAACAAUAAAAACACCUUCAAUCGAGCUCAUGGAGAGAGCAGUGCUUACAAUCUCGCCAGUGCACAACGAAGAUUGGAGGACUGAGAUUGUAUCUUUCCUCCAAGGCAAUUGUCUUUCGGAUGACAAAGCUUACAACAAAAGAAUGGAAGCAAGAACAAGACCCUAUGUAAUCAUAGAGGGAGAGUUGUAUAAACAAGGAGUCCGCUCUCAAUUACUAAAAUGUUUGUCUAGAACCGAAGGUCAAGAGCUGAUGAAGGAGAUACAUGCAGAACUAUGUGGAGCUCAUAUUGGGUCUAGGCCUUUACUGGGGAAGGUUUUUAGACAAGGAUUUUAUUGGCCGAAGGCAGCUUCAGAUGUAGCGGAUUUGGUUCAAAAAUGUGAAAACUGCCAGAAGUGUGCCAGAGACCAGAAACAACCUUCGUCUUUAACCCAACUAAUUCAGCCCACCUGGCCAUUGCAAAGGUGGGGCCUAGAUUUGCUAGGCCCACUUCCACCAGCACAAGGUAACAUGAAAUAUGUUGUGGUAGCAGUGGAGUACUUCUCGAAGUGGAUCGAAGCUAAGCCCUUAGCUACAAUAACUUCGGCCACAGUCCAGAAGUUCUUUUGGCAGAAUAUUGUUUGCCGCUUUGGUGUGCCGAAGGCCAUCACAGUUGAUAACGAAACUCAAUUUGAUGCCGAAAUGUUCAAAGCCUUUUGUGACCAGAUUGGUACAAAAAUACACUUUGCAUUAGUGAGACAUCCGGAAUCAAAUGGACUGGUAGAAAGAGCAAAUGGAAUCAUAAUAACAGGGAUAAUGAAGUCAAUCUUCAACCAGCCCAGAGGAAAAUGGUUAGACGAAUUAAUAAAGGUGGUGUGGAACCACAACACUAUUGUCUCAAGGUCAACGGGUUUUACCCCGUUCAAGCUUCUGUUCGGUGACGAAGCAAUAACACCGGAAGAAGCAAGAAGGGCCUUGUAGUGCGGACGGUCCGCAUGUGUUAACUCCUCUUGGUCAGAGCUCUAGUGCUCCAAGUUGCCAGGUCGCGGACGGUCCGACCAAGGUUGGCGGACUGUCCGGACCUCACUUUUCCGACAGCUCUGAUAGAUUUCAAACGGGAAAAAGUCGUUAUGUGUACGGCGGCCCGUCCGGCCUUAGGGCACGGACCGUCCGCAUGUGCGCAGAAAAUGUGCAAGUUGCACAUAACAGUUGGAUUUGAGUGGUGUGCUAUAAAUAGAAGGGGGGCUCGUGUGUGAGGGCUCUCUUGGCCAUUCCUUGCACACAUUGAGCUCACUUGUGAUCCUCCAACUCAUUCUCUCACACUCCUUGCUUGAGAUUGCAUUCUAGUGAGAGAUUGAGUGUUCCUAAUGCAUUUGCAUCCAUUGGUGAUUCUGGAGGCACUAGGUGGUACACCGAGCAAG
rnacentral:lncRNA from 1 species